rnacentral:rRNA from 1 species
GCCAGACUCCUACGGGAGGCAGCAGUGGGGGAUAUUGCACAAUGGGGGGAACCCUGAUGCAGCGACGCCGCGUGGGUGAAGGAGCGUUUCGGCGCGUAAAGCCCUAUCGGCAGGGAAGAAGGAGGACGGUACCUGACUAAGAAGCCCCGGCUAGCUACGUGCCAGCAGCCGCGGUAAUACGUAGGGGGCAAGCGUUAUCCGGAUUUACUGGGUGUAAAGGGGGCGCAGACGGCAGCGCAAGCCAGGAGUGAAAGCCCGGGGCCCAACCCCGGGACUGCUCUUGGAACUGCGCGGCUGGAGUGCAGGAGGGGCAGGCGGAAUUCCUGGUGUAGCGGUGAAAUGCGUAGAUAUCAGGAGGAACACCGGUGGCGAAGGCGGCCUGCUGGACUGCGACUGACGUUGAGGCCCGAAAGCGUGGGGAGCAAACAGGAUUAGAUACCCCCGUAC